CGGGAGAUGCGUCUCUACCGGCAGUGAUGCACUUGGGAGAGGCCUCUUGGGCAUGGUGCAUGCUGGGAGAUGUAGUCCUGAGAUGCUCAUCGCUAACGCAGGCAGAGUUUGAACCAGGUGCAGAAGCAGUAUCUGUUCAGGUGCCCCUCUUGUGGGAUCCCCAUGCAGCAGCCCCCCCACCCCUGCUCAGGGCAGCGAGGUGCCCAGCAUGGCUCCUGCCUUCUCUCCCCCCUCCCAAGCCCUGGGGCUGGGCAUGUCUGUGAUACCCUGACCUGGGGUGCUGCGGACACCAAAACACACUAGCAAUAACGCGCACCUGUACACUAGCAAUAAUACACGCUCCACAACUGGACUCUGGGCUCUUUCUGAGCGGCUUGGCAUGGAAAGCUAGCAUUGCAGGGUAUCAACUAAGCACACAUGCAGGAUGUGCACACAGACCAAACUCUGAGCAUCCGUGGACAAGCUCCAUAAAAUGUGGUAGUCUCUAGUGAGGUUCUGCGGGGAUCAUGCCAGCCCUGGUGCAACUCACCAUGAUCUCCAGUGGCGUGGAAAUCAGUGUAAAUUCACCACUGAGAAAAUCAGCAGAGAACCCAAAUAUCGGCAUGGAGAGGAUACAGAGCCAUCUGGACUGCUUGGGAAAAUAGCCUAAUUCAAACAAAAGGCAUUUUAUUUCAGCCCAGCAAAAUGUGACACAUCUAGGCCCAAAGAAACCCGGCAAGUCCUACCGACUGGGGGCCAGAGUCCUGGACAGCAGCGCCCUGGAAAGGCCUGAGGGGGCACAAACCCAAGAAACUUGCCCUGAGCUCCCAGAGUGAUGCUGUGGCAGAAAGGCUAAGGGGAGGUGCGGAUGUCUACACGGGGCAGUGAGUAGGGACGUCUGUAUAGCUCACUGGGUUGAGAUGGAUACUGGAGCAUGGGGCCGCCCCGCUCUGGUGGCCACAUUGUACAGGGACGAGGAGGGCGCAGAGCAGAGCCACACCAAUAACUGGAGCGGCCUGGAGACCAGCCUGCCGGGGAGAGGCGGGCACAGCUCACUCCGCUCAGCCCAUCCCCAAGCAGCCAGAGCGGAGACUCGCUCGCAGUGUCCAAGGCCCAGCCCAGGGCAGAAUCCCCCGGAGCGGAGAACGCCAGAGGAGCCGGUGCCUGGCAGCGGAAACCGGACCGAGCCAAAGCAGAACUAAGGCACCAGAGCCUGGACGUGCAGGGAGGUGGCGGGGGGCAUCUACCAGGCAGAGCUGUCCCUGUACGGAGACCCAGUGCGGGAAGACAUGCGGGAGCCGAAGUUCACAGCUGCUGUGGGUGAGAAGCCCAUUCCUCUCCUUUGGCAGGAGCUUUGUGGGCUCUGGAGGGCAGGGGGCAGUGUCAGAGCCAGGGGAGGCUGGAGACCGGCCCCGCUCGACGCCCAGAUGCUCGAGAGAGAUUGUUCUGUUGCCCCUCGUUCCCGGUGGAAGGAGAUUCUGAGACGGUGACAUGGUAAAAACAUGCACGUAGGGCUUGUGUCCACCUGGAGCUGGGCUGGAGCAGAACUGCGCCUCACUCCGAAUUUACAGGCCCUGGCACUGCUGCAUGCUGUAGUUCUGGCUGGAUCACCGUAGCGGAGCUUUCUGUCACCUCGAGAGAGGAACCCAACUGGCUCUUGGAUACUCAGCUGCUGUGGUGCUGGCAGCGGUGUAAAACUCUUAAGCCAGCCAGACUGCUUUGUGGGGUAGCUAUCCUUGUUCCCACCCUGAAUUCGUCUCUCCGCCUUCCAGCCUUGGCCCUUCCUUCUGCCCUUUCCUGCUAGAGCAAAGAGCUGCCAGAAAUCUCCUUGUGGCUGUGCUCGGCUGCCCAGCGCAGUGCUCUGUAGCCCCAGCGAACCAUCCUGGUCAGACAGUUCUCAAGCUGCACUGGGAAACUAGGUAAGUUGUUUGUCCCGCUGCUCCAGCCCCCCCUUACCCUCCUCUGGUGGUUAGAAACCUCUUCUUCCAGCCUGCAUUUACUCCUGGCCAUUUAUCCCCGUUUGUUUUUGUGCCAAUGCUGUCCCUUAGUAUCAGGAGCCCUUCUUCCUCCCUGGUGGUUUGGGUGCCAGCCGCUUGCUUUACCAGUUGGGAGUUGAGAUUUCCUUCCAGAAUCCCUGGUAAAGGUCCUCAGCAGCAUUGUGCCAGGAACAGAUCCCUCCUUGCAUGAGGGUUCCCCCAUUGGCUGCUGUUCUCUGAGAUCUGCUCGGCUGUGUCCAAGAUGUUGGUAUUGCAGACGUGAGGAGGAUUCGCAGACCGGCCGAAGGGGCUGGGAUGUGCCUGUCUCCCGGUUGGUAUAACAACAAGAACUGAGGGCCAGAUUCUAAAGAGAUCUGGGCACCUGAGAAGUAGAUAAAAGCACCCACUAGGCCCCUGUUGGCUUUUUAAGUGUCCAAACAGCUGUCAGUCUAGCCUGGGUGUCUGAAUUCCAUGAGCUGCAGUGAAUCAGGACCUGCAGCCCUUUG
rnacentral:lncRNA from 1 species